rnacentral:rRNA from 1 species
UAAAGUUGUUGCAGUUAAAAAGCUCGUAGUAGAAUUUCGGGGUUAGUAGGGUGGUCGUGCCACUGGUAUGUACUGGCUUUACUGAUUCCUCCUUCUUGAAGAACUGUAAUGUCAUUAAUUUGAUGUUGCAGGGAAACAGGACUGUUACUUUGAAAAAAUUAGAGUGUUUAAAGCGGGCUAACGCUUGAAUACAUUAGCAUGGAAUAAUGAAAUAGGACGUUUGAUCCUAUUUUGUUGGUUUCUAGGAUUGACGUAAUGAUUAAUAGGG